UAAUAGUUUAUAAUUUAACAUGUAUCAAUUGUUUUACAAUUGACAAUUAUCAAUAGAACACACGAUUAGUCAUAUAAGGAAGUGAAACAUUCCGCCUUUAAUGUGACCAGGAACUAAACAAAAAUCUAAAUUAGACGUACCCGUUCAAACAAAUAGAAAUAUGAAGAUAAUUGUAUUGCUAUUGUCGAUCUUUGCUGGAGGUAAUGCAGGAUCGUGCUAUUAUGAAAACAGAUUAUCACCAUAUUUGAUAUAUAACGAUUAUGAGUUCUGUCUUACUGGUUGUUGUGGUUCAACCGAAAUAGAUGGUAUAAAACAUUGCUGUAAGGAUGCAGGAGCCAUUAUAGGAAUAUUUUUUGGUGCUGCAGCAUUUCUUAUAUUAAUUGUUGUAGUUUGUGCCCUAUGUAGAAGAAGACAUCGGAGUGAUUCAUUCGUUAUCAGAGGAUCAAAUGAACGAGACAGACUUAUAUCACCAGCUACACCAGCCACACAGUAUCCUUCAGCAGCUGGCCAUAGUCAUUAUCAAAGUCAAGGACGGUAUAAUUACCAGCAAAGAAACACAACAACCGGGUAUAUAUAUCCGCCACAAACAGGAACCGGAAACAUAUAUUCACAACAAAUCACUCCUAAUGCGCCUGCUUACCAGAACUAACGUCAACAGCACUGACAACGGUGACUGAACCAUCAUGAUAACGACACUAUUCAUCAAAAUCUCAAUCUGUGCUUUAAACUGUGAAUAUUUGAACUUUAAAUCGAUAAUUUUUUAAGUAAAGGUUAAUACAAUUGCAGAUAAUUCAUUGUUUAAAAAACAUCUUUUUCACCUUUAUUGAAGAGAUUUGCUUGACCUACUCAAGUAACGUUUACCGGACUUUUUAUCUCUUACAUUGACUGAUAAAUCAAUUAGGAUAAAUGUCAUUUCAAGUGUGUCUUUAUUCAAAGAUUCAUGUUUGUAAACACACUUGGUGCAUUAUAUUGUUGGCUGUUAGAACUAACAUGUUAUGUAAAGUACAAAAUAUAUAUUUGAAACCGGACAUCCUCAUAUCUAAACCAAUUAUCGACUUUAAAUACACAAUUACAAUUAAUAUAUAUAUAAUUAUAAUUAUAAUUGUGAAUUAUCGAAUAUUUGUCAAGUGCUUUAUUGACUAGUGAAGCAUUACAGAAAUGUUCAUUAUAAUAUACCAUCUUUCCUAUUUUCAAUUUCAUCAGCUUAAAUACACCGUUGGAGUAUUAUCCGGAACGAAGAUGGAUGGAACUAGUUACCAUAAAAUUUGGGCAGUUCUUGUGCUGGAUAAUGGAAGGUCAUAACACGUAUUUGGUAGACCUUUAUCAAAGAGAGUUGAUGGACUAUGUUUGUAUCGACGAUAUACAGACUACCCAAUAUCUCCACCGUGUAUAUUCUCUAAACUACAUAGACACACAUUGAUGUACUUUGAUAUAUAAUAAAUUGAAAUGUAUACCAAAACAAAUUACAUUUACUAUGCAUCUCUUUUCUUGGUUCUAAAUUGUACCUGAAUAGUAAAAGCUUAUGUUUUCCAAAGCUAUGACCUAAUGGACUAAGUUACCCUUACAUCAUUCACGAUAGGGGAGAAAAAACUCCGUCCUUCUCUCCUUUGGUACUUACAAAAAAGGACGAUGACAGUGUACAGUCUUAAAACUGGAUACCCAAACUUCGCAAAAACAUACUAAUGAGCGAUUUACAGCCAGGUCAUUUACAUCUGACUGAAUAAACAUCUUUCUUAAGUCUUUACUUCAAUUAUUUCUACAGACAUAUUGUGACGAAUUGUAUUCUACCAGUGUUGUCAAUCAGAUGUGGAUCCUUAAACAUUCAAAGACCUAAUGAAAAAUAUAUCACGAUUUAGAAAUUUUGCAAUAUUGAUGAAGUGUUUUCUGUGGGCAUGCUAUACUAUGAAAUGCAUUUAUAGACAUUUCAAAGUUUUAUUGGCAGUAUUUAAUUUUUUUUUCAAUUCUAUAUUUUCUGGAAUUACAUGUCGAACAGUUUUAGUCUACAAGAAGUCAGAUGGGCGCUUAAUGAAAUAUGUUUAUUCUUUCUUUAGAUGAUUUAAGAUUUCAUUGUCCACUUUUUUCUGCGAAUUUUAUAGUUGAGAAUGUAAUAUAGAAACAGAUAAAAGGCGUCACUGAUGCCAUCACUUAUAUUUUUAAAAGAAUGGAUUUAAAUAUGGGUUUUUUUUAUCGAAGUGAGUACAGAUAAAAUUAUAAUAGCAAAAAUACCGAACUCAAUUGCUUGUUUGUUUUAAAGAAAUUGACAAAUGAACUUACAUAUUUUGAUAUCUUGUGCCUUAUUAAUUUGAGGGGGCAUUGGAAGUUUGAUGUUUAUUUUACGGGUUAACCGAGCACAAGAGAGGCGAAAGAUACCAAAAGGACAUUCAAGAUCGUAAGUCGAAAUCAAACUGAAAAAUGUAACCAUGCCUGUGCGUAUUGAUUCUAGUCGCGUUAUUUAACAUAAUUAACAAAGAAGUCUGAGGAAAAUUGCAACAACUUUAUAGAUGAUUAAAUAAACUACCGUUUACACGUACAAUUUAAUAUGUACUCACAUUACCUUUAGAAAAGCACCGAAUAAUAUAUGCUCGCUACAAUAAAUGGCUUAGUAGACACAACUUCCGGCUUUAUUGGCAUUGUAAUGGUAAGACACCUAUUAAUAGAGGAUGUUACGUAGUGUUCUCAAUUUUCAAUUUAUAAGUACGACUCACUAAUUGUUAUAGUAUUAAAGUCGUUUUAGACCGAAAAAAAUGAGGAGAAGCCAAAUAUUUUUUUUGUAAAUAGGAUUUUCAAAAGCGAGGAGGUUUAAGGUACAUGUAGUACAUAAAUUUAGACAAUACGUCAAUUACUUUUCAAAUUAAUCGUUCUGAAUACAACAUAUGGUAACAGAUGAUUCCGUAUACUAAUUUAAGUGUCAUAUUAGGAAGUAAUUAAAUUAACCUUCCCUCUUCAAUGUAGCUAAAAUUUCAUUUAUAUUAAAUUGAUAGGUAAGAUAAACGGUGCUAAUUAAAACAUGGAAAAUAUUGUGUUGAUAUCGUCAUUCUUUGCUAGAGUGUAUGUCGGAUCUUGCUACUACGAACAUACGAAUCCAACUUACUAUACCUCUAGUUAUGAGUACUGCCUUGCUGGCUGUUGUGGCGCCUAUAAACCUGGUGGAUUAAAACACUGCUGUAACUCUACAGGAGCUACUAUUGGGAUUCUGAUUGCUGUAGUGGUCUUCGUGGCAUUGGUUAUCACAGCUUGUAUCGCGUAUAGACGACGAAGACGACGACUUUUACUCGUUCAUGCGGGGUCGACUGAACGAAACAGAUUGGUGAUACAAGGUUUUAUGUCGGAGCCAUCAACCGAUGGUCAUACACACUGUCAAAGUCAAGCAAAGAAUAUUUACCAUUAAUACCAAACAGAAACCGGAAAUGAGUGUCUACCAAAGAGUACUGUAUUAAGCCUGUACAACAGGCAUAAUAAUCUUUUGUUUACAAUAAACUCAUCUUAGAUACCAGGCUUUAAACAUAAUACUCCAGACGCGCGUUUCGUCUAUUUAGACUCAUAAGUGACGCAGGAAUCAUAAAAGUUAAAAGGCCGAAUAAAGUACGAAGUUGAAGAUCAUUGAAGACGCAAUAUUAUAAUUUUGCAUUCUAAAGACUUAUUCAAUGUUUUCAAGAUUGUAUAUUGUUUCUUUGUGGCUUUUUUAACCAUGUUGAGUUGGUUAUGUUUUUACUCUAUUUCAUUCUUUUACUUAGAAUUUAUUCCACCAUGCAUACCAUUCAUCACAAUUUUGUUAUUUUGUUAUUGUACUAAUUUCUUAUGUAUAUUUUAUCUACUGAAGCUUCAUAGGGUUCUUUUCUAUGCACACUGCACCAGAAUAAUCUUCCCCAGGUACGUCCAAGACGGAGUCCUUCUUAAUGGCCUAGUUGUAAGAUAGUAUGUACGGAACAAAUUACCAAUGGCUUUAUUUCGGAAGAAGGUUUAAAACUGCUGUUCCUAUAGUUUUUAACAUUGCUAUCAACUAAGGAGAUGUCUGUGUUACUUACUAAAUUGGAUUAGUGAUGAGCACCCGUAGCCGACCUUAUUAUAGUAAUUAGUUCACUUCGGUUGUUGAAAUUGCUUUAAUUUUCAUACGGAGAAUCACAGUUAGCGCAAUCGAAUUAAAAUGUAAAUCCUGUUACCACGCUUCUUUUUUACUGCUCAUCCAACGCCUUGUUUUAUAUUAUAUGAGUCGAUCAUCUUCGGAAUAUUGAGGAUUUGUUGCAAUGAAACAGGACUCAAUAUAUCAAGCAGAUAUUUCAUUGCUGGACGUAAUAAGUUUGAGAACAAAAAGAAGCUAAGACAGUUGUUAGAUCCUUUAAAGUAGAAUGGAAUUUUUUCAAAACCUUUACUGUGUAGUGGAGUGUUGUCAAAUUCGUAAGAGCAAAACAUGGAUACUUGAUCAUCAUUUCAAAUAUAUUUGUAUUGGCUAUUAUAUAAAUCUACUCUGGUCUUUGGGUCAAAAAUCGUUUCCUUUUAUGUAUUUCCAAUUUAUUUAGACUGUCAAAAUGGUAAGGUUCUAAACGCUGAGAAUAAUUUUAAAAUGUGUAAUUGUUGAAAUAUUUGUUAUUGAUAUGACAAAAUUGUGACGGAUAUAUCUUGUAACCGGUCGAUCAGUAACGAGUAACAAACUUGGUCAAAAUACCGAUCGAAAAGUAAAACUAAGUAAAGUAAAAAAGAAACUGUUAACAAGCAUAUGUCUUCUUUUACUUUUAGUGGAAACACUUAGAAACGGAUAGCUUCACUGUUUGGUGCAUUCUCUGUAAUAUAGAUAAUGAUUAUAAAUCCACGAGAACACGUUCUGAUUAAUAGUAAUAAUGAAUAAAAAAGAAUUUCUAUAUAACAACAAUGUAGGCAAAUUCAAGCAGUCUAACUCUUGAUUUCAAUAUUUAUAUAAACAAUUGAUGCAAACACAUCGAGCAAACCGCACAUCUAUAUACAAAUAAAACUAUCGAAUAUUCUGAAAAUUGUAAAAAACAAGGUAAAGUCUUUUAACGAUAUAAGUUUUUUGAAAAUAUAUUUUUUUAAUCUGAACAUAUGUAACUUUUACAAAUGUUUUACAUUAUAAGACCUACACUCAAACCAUUUAGACAAAUCUGACAACCUGUUUUGGGGUUGUACAUAUAAUGUUGAUUUUAACUGCGUUUUUGACAGUUUUUAAUGAAUGGUGAGCGAUACAAGCUAAUGUGAACCUCUUGUUUUGAUAAGAUUUUGAUUUUCAUCUAUUAUUUGUCUGUGUUAGCUGUAUAGAAUAGUUCUUUUACGGAUACUCCUUCAAUUAUGGUUUCAACAUUUUGAGUUACAUAUAUAUUGAUUAGUUAAUCAUCGGUAAGAUUAUGGCAAAAAAUCGAACUAAGAUUUUUUUGUUUGAUUGAAUCGACGCAUAUGCAAAAGUGGGUGGUAAAAAAAUUAUGCAAAUGCGUAAAUGUGGGGUUAUUGGGUUUAUACGACAGAUGACGAUGAUUCCAACACUUGAAAUUGCAGAAGGUGCAAUAGUUACAUAAUAUAGAUAAUUUUUUUAUAACCAGACAUAUAGACGUAUACAUUGUUCUACAUAGACAGAUAAACAUAUACAUUAUUAUUCAUAGACAUGUUGAAACACUCAUUGGAAUUAAUGUCAUAUAAGGAAGUGAGAGAGUAAUUUCUGUGUUAAAUGUAACAAGGAAAUAUACAUUUUGUUACACUUCAUGUACACGUGUAAUAAAUAAAAAUAUGGAGAAAAUUGUGCUCUUGUCGUUGUUUGAUAAGUUUAAUUUAAGGCUUGUACAAUUAUCGAUUUUAUCAUAGAUAUGUUAAUUAAAACAAAAUAUAUAUAUAUAAGUAGAAAUAUCUUUGUUAACGUGUAUUAGGUUGAUGUCCCGAUCCGCCUUUAAUAACAACAAACUCCUGUAAAUUCUUACCUGCUUAAAAAUAUUACCAUAGGUAAACAAAUUUGAUUUAAAGGUUUUGCCUAUCGUAAUUCUUUUCACCAUUUAUUUCCGCUCUACGUUUACUUUUUUUUUUGUGUAAGACCACACUUUCUUGUUAUGUUUGUUUUUGAUAGCACGCACAUGAGAGUAAUACAAAGUUAGAUACAUCCAAUAAAACAUCACAGAUUCUUGUCUUGCAUUUUUACUUAUUGUGUAUAGUUCGUCUAGUAUGUAGUUUGUUGUAUAAAAAAGUAUUUUUUCAGUACAGGGGAGUCUCAGGAGAGGAGCCAUUAAGGACAUUAUGGUAGGGGUGAAUAUCUGGUACACUACCCUUUUCAUAUAUUGUGACAAAAAAAGUAUCUGUAGCGAACAUUAUUACGCCAUUUCAUGGAGAGAUAAAUCUGUUUGACAAUUUUAUUUAACUUUUACGACAGUGUUUUAAAUCGCAUCUGUGAAAAAGAUUGACACCUGAGUAGUUUCAUACACUUAUGAUUUAAUCAGCAUCAUUGUCAUAUAUUUCAUCUUAAAUUCACGACCGCAUUACAUCUCAUGAAGCCCGAAAUAGUUACUUAUUCCCGUGCCCCUUCACCCCACCUUGAGAAAAGAGUUUUACACGAGACAAAAUUUUAUUUUUUCUAUGCAACCAGAUUACUCGAUGAUUAGGUGACGUUUCUUUUUUAAAUAACAUGUUCAGUUAUUCAUUUAUUCUAGGAUAAACUGCAACUGUUCUAGUCUCUGUAAAUCUUGAAGAUAGGUUCUUUUAUGAGGGUCUGAAAAGGUUUUUUCAGAAUAGAGAAUGAUGGACCAAUACUACAGCAAAAUGGGCCAGAAAAAUAAAGAAUAGAUAAAAAUAGGCAAAAAAAUACAGAAUAAAGAAUAAAAGGGUGAUAAAAUAAACAGAAUAGAAAAAAAUUGACAUUAUUAAUAAAGAUUUCUCUUUUAAAAAGAAAUAAGUAAUCAAAAGACGAAUCUUCCAUUUAUUCAAACUCAUCAAUAUUUACAAUAGAUAAUACAUCGGCUUUUCUCGUGAUCGUUAUGUCUACAAUAAAAAUCAAAUUAAAACAAUUGAAUAUCAUCCUUGAGAUUGAAAUGAUUAUUUAUAUAUUUGAAAUGUGUUUUAAAAAAUAUUUUCUUCAUGGCAAAAACAUGAAACAGGCUCAUUUUGAUAUCGUGUCAUUUACAUUUAUAUAUUAGUCAAGGUGCUACCCGAAUAGAUAUUUUGCCUCAAAAUAUCUUAGCUAAUACUUAUACGCAAAGCACGCUGGUAAAAUAACAUUUUGAUUAAGUCUUUGUCUCACUAAUAAGUGUAACAAAACAUGAGAGGUAAAACAAGUCAAUUUCAUCAUGUUUUUGACAUCAUAUAAAAUGAAAGCUGACGUUUCAUAACUGAAUUAGCUAUAUAAAAAUAAGGAUAAGGUGGUAUGGUUGCCAAUUAGACAAUCUUCCACCAGAGUUUAAAUUUUUUUAUAACAUCAAACGAAUGUAGAAAUUCAACUGAACAUUUUUGAAAGGCUUGAAUAAUUUAAAUAGUUUUGCAAUUCAGUGACCAAAUAAUGACUAUAAUAGCCGUUACUUUGAUUUUUCUUGUUUGCGAUUAUAUAUAUGUUCGUAAUUUUCUCUGAUGCAUUCAUUUGUAUUUGACAAUGAUUUGAUUUUAUAAAUUUUUUUUACUGAAGCUGUAGUGGAUGCAGGAUUUUGUUACUACAAAGAAAAUAUGUACAAUCCAGUUUUUCCAAACUACCACCCUGACGACUUUACGGGUCUACGAGUUCUGCCUAAAUGGUUGUUGCGGUUCAACUAAAAUAGAUGGUAUAAAACACUGUUGUGACGAAAGAGGAGUCAUUAUAGGGGUAUUUGUUGGUAUGGUGGUCUUCUUUGUAUUGAUUGCAGCAUGUUGUGCAAUAUAUAGACGAAGAAGGGAUUUAUUCAUAAAUGGACGGUUGAGUGAACGAGGUAGAUUGAUACCACCACCUACACAGUAUCCAUCCGCAGCUGGUCACGGCCAUUAUCAAAGUCAAGCACGGUUUAAUAACCAGCAAACAAACACAGGAUCCGGAUAUAUAUAUCCCCGACAAACAGGACCCGGGCACAUAUAUUCACAACAAAUCAUUCCGAAUGCGCCUGCUUAUCAGACCUAACAUUUAAUACCACGAAAAACGUGGCAAAAUUUGAAGAUGUGUUUUUAUACAGGUCUCUAUGAUUUAGCAUGUGUACUACCAUAGGCUUUCAUUUUUAUAUCUUUAUGAUAAAUGCAUACUUUUGAAAACGAUAUUAUUAACCAAGACGCUCCUCUUGUGCAUUUAAAUGUAUACCGUAUAAUGUUUUCAGUCAAUCAUUUUAGAAAUAAGUGGAAUCGACAGCAUUGAAGAGGGUUAUUAGUUAAAACACGUUUUACCGUUCAUCAUGAAAGACAUUUUUACAUGACGGUUUGUUCCUUACAUUUAAUGCUUUAUAAACAUUAAUAAAUAAGACAUAUAUAAUUAAAGAGCUUUCUUUAUUGGACGAUGAUGUAUGAUCAAAUUAGCUAGCACACUUGGGUAGAUUAUUUCUGGGGGUGCUAGAACAAAACAAUAUAUAACGAACACAAGAAAUUGUAGAAACUGUUCGUAUUUAAACUCACUGAGUAAACAUAGAACAAUUUUAAUUAAACUAAUAUACAUAUAUCCUUUUAAAUUAUAUGUACAUGAUGUAUGCAAGUUUAAAUAUCGAAUAUACUGUGGAUUCAUUUAUUUUCGUGGGUACCAAUUUUCGUGGAUAAAGGAAAACAUACAUGUUCGUGGAUAUUUGAUUUCGUGGUUUUGACGAAGUAUGCAUACAAGCCUAUAGAAAAUUUGGUAUUCGUUGAUCAUUUAAUUUCGUGGUUCACCUGUUCCCACGAAAUCCACGAAAAUUGGUAUCCAACGAAUGAUAAUGAAUCCACAGUAUA